rnacentral:rRNA from 1 species
AUUGAACGCUGGCGGCAUGCCUUACACAUGCAAGUCGAACGGCAGCACGGGUGCUUGCACCUGGUGGCGAGUGGCGAACGGGUGAGUAAUACAUCGGAACAUGUCCUGUAGUGGGGGAUAGCCCGGCGAAAGCCGGAUUAAUACCGCAUACGAUCUACGGCUGAAAGCGGGGGACCUUCGGGCCUCGCGCUAUAGGGUUGGCCGAUGGCUGAUUAGCUAGUUGGUGGGGUAAAGGCCUACCAAGGCGACGAUCAGUAGCUGGUCUGAGAGGACGACCAGCCACACUGGGACUGAGACACGGCCCAGACUCCUACGGGAGGCAGCGGUGGGGAAUUUUGGACAGUGGGCGAAAGCCUGAUCCAGCAAUGCCGCGUGUGUGAAGAAGGCCUUCGGGUUGUAAAGCACUUUUGUCCGGAAAGAAAUCCUUGGCCCUAAUACGGUCGGGGGAUGACGGUACCGGAAGAAUAAGCACCGGCUAACUACGUG